rnacentral:rRNA from 1 species
GACACGCUGUGACUAGCAUAUCAAUAAGCGGAGGAAAAGAAACUAACAAGGAUUCCCCUAGUAACGGCGAGUGAAGCGGGAAGAGCUCAAAUUUGAAAUCUUAAAGGGUUUCCCUUUACGAAUUGUAGUUUAAAGAAGUGUUUUCUGUUGAGGUUUUGGUAAAAGUUCUUUGGAAUAGGACAUCAUAGAGGGUGAGAAUCCCGUAUUUGACCUUUACUUUCAACUUUGUGAUACACUUUCAAAGAGUCGGAUUGUUUGGGAAUGCAGUCCAAAAUGGGUGGUAAAUUUCAUCUAAAGCUAAAUAUUGGCGAGAGACCGAUAGCGAACAAGUACCGUGAGGGAAAGAUGAAAAGAACUUUGAAAAGAGAGUUAAACAGUACGUGAAAUUGUCAAAAGGGAAGCGUUUGACACCAGUGUUGUUUUUCUGAAAAUCAAUUAAAGAACUGUUUAUGCUAAGCUGUUUAGACUUUAUCAGCUAAUCUGUUUAGUUUUGAGCUUUUCUUUAAUGCACUUUUCAGUUAACAAGUCAACAUCAAUUUCUUUUGCUGUAAAAAAGCUUGAGGAAGGUGGCUUGAGAUUCGUCUUAAGUGUUUAUAGCCUCUUGCCUAUGCAGUCGGAGAGAUUGAGGUCUGCAGCGUAGAUCCUUCGGGGCUAAAUGCAUUUGUGCUAAGUUAUAGCAUUUUAUAGACAACUUGUUGACUAUGAUUUGUCUUGUAGCUUACUCGCUUAUGUUAUUUUACCUACGCUUAGGAUGUUGACGAGACUGUCGAUCUC